rnacentral:rRNA from 1 species
UACGUAGGGGGCAAGCGUUGUCCGGAAUCAUUGGGCGUAAAGAGCGUGUAGGCGGCCAGAAAAGUCCGCUGUGAAAACUCGAGGCUCAACUUCGAGCUGUCGGUGGAAACUUUCUGGCUAGAGUCCGGAAGAGGAGAAUGGAAUUCCUGGUGUAGCGGUGAAAUGCGCAGAUAUCGGGAGGAACACCAAUGGCGAAGGCAGCUCGCUGGGACGGUACUGACGCUGAGGCGCGAAAGCGUGGGUAGCAAACAGG